rnacentral:rRNA from 1 species
UACGUAGGGUGCGAGCGUUAUUCGGAAUUAUUGGGCGUAAAGGGCGCGUAGGCGGCCUGACAAGUGGAAGGUGAAAUCCCUCGGCUUAACCGAGGAACUGCCCUCCAAACUGUUUGGCUUGAGACCGGGAGAGGUGAGUGGAAUUCCCAGUGUAGCGGUGAAAUGCGUAGAUAUUGGGAGGAACACCAGUGGCGAAGGCGGCUCACUGGACCGGUACUGACGCUGAGGCGCGAAAGCGUGGGGAGCAAACGGG